GCAUAUCAAUAAGCGGAGGAAAAGAAACCAACAGGGGAUUGCCUUAGUAACGGCGAGUGAAGCGGCAACAGCUCAAAUUUGAAAUCUGGCCCCAGGCCCGAAUUGUAAUUUGUAGAGGAUGCUUUUGGUGCGGUACCUUCCGAGUUCCCUGGAACGGGACGCCUUAGAGGGUGAGAGCCCCGUACGGUUGGAUGCCUAGCCUCUGUAAAGCUCCUUCGACGAGUCGAGUAGUUUGGGAAUGCUGCUCUAAAUGGGAGGUAAAUUUCUUCUAAAGCUAAAUACCGGCCAGAGACCGAUAGCGCACAAGUAGAGUGAUCGAAAGAUGAAAAGCACUUUGAAAAGAGGGUUAAAUAGUACGUGAAAUUGUUGAAAGGGAAGCGCUUAUGACCAGACUUUUGCCCUGCGGAUCAUCUGGUGUUCUCACCAGUGCACUUCGCUUGGUUUAGGCCAGCGUCGAUUUUGGUAGGGGGAUAAAGGCUCGGGAAACGUGGCUCUUCCGGGAGUGUUAUAGUCCCCUGCGUAAUACCCUUACCGGGAUCGAGGUUCGCGCUCUGCAAGGACGCUGGCAUAAUGGUCAUCAGUGACCCGUCUUGAAACACGGACCAAGGAGUCGAACAUUUGUGCGAGUGUUUGGGUGUUAAACCCUCACGCGUAAUGAAAGUGAACGGAGGUGAGAGCCCUCGGGUGCAUCAUCGACCGAUCCUGAUGUCUUCGGAUGGAUUUGAGUAAGAGCAUAACUGUUCGGACCCGAAAGAUGGUGAACUAUGCGUGGAUAGGGUGAAGCCAGAGGAAACUCUGGUGGAGGCUCGCAGCGGUUCUGACGUGCAAAUCGAUCGUCAAAUCUGCGCAUGGGGGCGAAAGACUAAUCGAACCAUCUAGUAGCUGGUUACCGCCGAAG
rnacentral:rRNA from 1 species